rnacentral:tRNA from 1 species
CGGCGUGUAGCGCAGUCUGGUAGCGCAUCUGCUUUGGGAGCAGGGAGUCGCAGGUUCAAAUCCUGCCACGCCGACCA